rnacentral:rRNA from 1 species
CCUACGGGGGGCUGCAGUAAGGAAUAUUGGUCAAUGGAGGAAACUCUGAACCAGCCAUCCCGCGUGAAGGAUGAAGGGGCUCUGCCUUGUAAACUUCUUUUGUCUGGGGCGAAAAAGCUCGAUUUAUCGAGAACUGACGGUACCAGAAGAAUAAGCACCGGCUAACUCCGUGCCAGCAGCCGCGGUAAUACGGAGGGUGCCGGCGUUAUCCGGAUUAAAUGGGUUUAAGGGGGGUUAGGAAGUCUUAGGUGAAAGGCUGUGGCUUAACCAUGGAAUUGCCAUUGAUACUGCAAAUCUUGAAUGAGGUUGAGGUUGGCGGAAUGUGACAUGUAGCGGUGAAAUGCUUAGAUAUGUCAUGGAACACCGAUUGCGAAGGCAGCUGACUGGACCUAUAUUGACGCUGAGGCACGAAAGCGUGGGGAGCGAACAGGAUUAGAUACCCUGGUAGUC